UCUGUGAGCAGGUCUGCGGGCAGGUCUGAGACAAGGUCUGUCUGUGAGCAGGUCUGUGGGCAGGUCUGAGAGAAGGUCUGUCUGUGAGCAGGUCUGUGGGCAGGUCUGAGAGAAGGUCUGUCUGUGGGCAGGUCUGAGAGAAGGUCUGUCUGUGGGCAGGUCUGAGAGAAGGUCUGUCUGUGAGCAGGUCUGUGGGCAGGUCUGAGAGAAGGUCUGUCUGUGAGCAGGUCUGUAGGCGUGUCUGCGAGAAGGUCUGUCUGUGAGCAGG